CUCUGCUAUCACUGUUUGUGCCUGAUGGAGAUGAAGAAUCCUCAUUCUGAAGCAACGACAACAUUAGGCCAGUGCAAGAAAAACAGGAGAAAUUGCGGCAGUACACCCGCCUUAUUGGCAAAGAGCACAGCUUCUGGAUUUUCCAUCUGGGGAGUAGGAUUCAACAAGGGAUGAAUUACAAAUCUGUAAUUUCAUGCUAUGUGUAAUGGCUAUCCCAUGUUACUGCUUCUGCAUAUUAUUAGAUCUUAAUUUUA